rfam:Caenorhabditis brenneri strain PB2801 C_brenneri-6.0.1_Cont4.16, whole genome shotgun sequence.
GAGCCAAUAAUUUGGAUGGCUGUGCCUUGAAGAAAUACAGUUAGUGUCAUUUCAUCAGGCCAUAGCUGUCCAAAUUGUUAGGUUCG